rnacentral:rRNA from 1 species
AUUGAACGCUGGCGGAAUGCUUUACACAUGCAAGUCGAACGGUAGAGGGGGCAACCCCUCGAGAGUGGCGAACGGGUGAGUAAUAUAUCGGAACGUGCCCAGUCGUGGGGGAUAACGUAGCGAAAGUUACGCUAAUACCGCAUACGAUCUAAGGAUGAAAGCGGGGGAUCGCAAGACCUCGCGCGAUUGGAGCGGCCGAUAUCAGAUUAGGUAGUUGGUGGGGUAAAGGCUCACCAAGCCAACGAUCUGUAGCUGGUCUGAGAGGACGACCAGCCACACUGGAACUGAGACACGGUCCAGACUCCUACGGGAGGCAGCAGUGGGGAAUGUUGGACAAUGGACGCAAGUCUGAUCCAGCGAUUCCGCGUGCAGGAUGAAGGCCCUCGGGUUGUAAACUGCUUUUGUACGGAACGAAAAGGUCUCUCUUAAUACGGGGGGCUCAUGACGGUACCGUAAGAAUAAGCACCGGCUAACUACGUGCCAGCCGCCGCAGUAA